GACGAACGCUGGCGGCGUGCUUAACACAUGCAAGUCGAACGCUGAAGCUUGCUGCUUGCACUGGGUGGAUGAGUGGCGAACGGGUGAGUAAUACGUGAGUAACCUGCCCUUGACUCUGGGAUAAGCCUGGGAAACUGGGUCCAAUACUGGAUACGACAUGUCACCGCAUGGUGGUGUGUGGAAAGGGUUUUACUGGUUUUGGAUGGGCUCACGGCCUAUCAGCUUGUUGGUGGGGUAAUGGCUCACCAAGGCGACGACGGGUAGCCGGCCUGAGAGGGUGACCGGCCACACUGGGACUGAGACACGGCCCAGACUCCUACGGGAGGCAGCAGUGGGGAAUAUUGCACAAUGGGCGGAAGCCUGAUGCAGCGACGCCGCGUGAGGGAUGACGGCCUUCGGGUUGUAAACCUCUUUCAGCACGGAAGAAGCGAAAGUGACGGUACGUGCAGAAGAAGCGCCGGCUAACUACGUG
rnacentral:rRNA from 1 species